UACGUAUGGUGCAAGCGUUAUCCGGAUUUACUGGGUGUAAAGGGAGCGCAGGCGGCACGGCAAGCCUGAUGUGAAAGCCCGCGGCCCAACCGCGGGACUGCAUUGGGAACUACCGGGCUGGAGUGCCGGAGAGGUAGGCGGAAUUCCAAGUGUAGCGGUGAAAUGCGUAGAUAUUAGGAGGAACACCAGUGGCGAAGGCGGCCUACUGGACGGUGACUGACGCUGAGGCUCGAAAGCGUGGGGAGCAAACAGG
rnacentral:rRNA from 1 species